AUUGAACGCUGGCGGCAGGCCUAACACAUGCAAGUCGAGCGGAUGAGGAAAGCUUGCUUUUCGAUUCAGCGGCGGACGGGUGAGUAAUGCCUAGGAAUCUGCCUGUUAGUGGGGGAUAACUCGGGGAAACUCGGGCUAAUACCGCAUACGUCCUACGGUAGAAAGGGGGGGAUCUUCGGACCUCACGCUAACAGAUGAGCCUAGGUGGGAUUAGCUAGUAGGUGAGGUAAUGGCUCACCUAGGCGACGAUCCGGAACUGGUCUGAGAGGAUGAUCAGUCACACUGGAACUGAGACACGGUCCAGACUCCUACGGGAGGCAGCAGUGGGGAAUAUUGGACAAUGGGCGAAAGCCUGAUCCAGCCAUGCCGCGUGUGUGAAGAAGGUCUUCGGAUUGUAAAGCACUUUAAGUUGGGAGGAAGGGUAUUCACCUAAUACGUGGGUACUUUGACGUUACCAACAGAAUAAGCACCGGCUAACUCUGUGCCAGCCGCCGCGGUAAGAC
rnacentral:rRNA from 1 species